AUGGAGUCUCUAGUUGAACACAUGAGGACAUCAUAUCAUUCAGUUCAUGAACCUAUGUGUUUGAUUUGUGAGAAACACUGUCAAUCUUUUGCAGCUUUGAGACAACACCUUAUUGGGCCAUUACCAAAGGCAAAUUGUGAGAAGAUUUUCAAGGAACUAGGAUGUAACAUUUGUUUGUCACUCUUUGCUAGUCGUAAUGCUCUAAUGGCUCACAAAGAAUCAUGUCCAUUGUCACGCUCAAAUAAUGGUUUUCUCUAUCGUGGGCUUCGAAAUGACUUAAGGAUUGACAAUAUGCAACGAAAAGUUGUUGCUAUUUCUUGUAAAAUAGUAGGUGGUGGCAUCGAUGGAGCUAUUGACCUUUGUGCUAGAGUUUGUCUAAUUGAUGAACAUGAAAGAAUCCUCUUUGAUUCCUACGUCGAACCAAUUAGGCCAAUCACUAACUACAGGUAUAAAACAUCGGGGAUAAGUCCUCGACACAUGAGGGGUGCAAUGCCAAUAAACCAAGUAACAGGAAAAAUUCAAUAUUAUAUUUGUAACGGGGAACUUCUUUGGCAAAUUCAUGCUGGAAGUGGAAGGGCUAGGAUCCUUGUUGGUCACGAUUUGGAUCGUCUUUUUAAAUGCUUAGGACUCCAAUACCCAUCAGUAAUGAUAAGGGAUACUGCAAAAUAUCCUCCACUGAUGGACACAAACAAGAAUAGCAAUUCACUCAAGUACUUGACCAAAACUUAUCUUGGGUAUGAGAUUCAGACAAGAGUUCAAGAUCCAUAUGAUGAUUGUGUUGCAACAAUGAGGUUGUACAUGAAAAUGAAAUCACAAGCUCAUAAAAGGGAGGAGUGGCCACUUGUUAUUGACCCAAAAACUUGUAAUAUUUUUGGGUCAUGUAAGCAAAAAUUUGGAGGAUGUGGAAGACGUAGAUAUGAGCCUGAAGACAAUGUUGGCGGGCUGGAAUCCAAGGUCUGGAUUUUGGUGUGUGAGGCACUCAAUGAUGUGCGGAGGUUGUGCAAGUUUCACAGAGAAGCAACGCUUGAUAUUUUGGUAAAUGUAAUCUCGCUUGUUGUGAAAUCCUUGAAGAGUCCUAGAAGUGCUGUAUGUAAGACUGCUAUCAUGACUUCAGCUGACAUUUUCAAAGCAUACUGUGACAGCGUUGUUGACUUAAUAGAUCCACUGCUUGUUCAACUUCUGCUUAAAUCUUCACAAGACAAGCGAUUUUUUUGUGAGGCAGCUGAGAAAGCUCUGAUAUCCAUGACGACAUGGGUUUCUCCAGUUCUAUUGUUAGCUAAGCUGCAACCUUAUCUUAAAAACAAAAAUCCUCGAAUUCGAGCUAAGGCUUCAAUGUGCAUUUCUCGAAGUGCACCACAUCUGGGAUCUGAUGGAAUCAAAGCAUAUGGGAUUGAAAAGCUGAUCCAACUCGCCGCAUCUCAGCUCAGUGACAAACUCCCUGAAUCAAGGGAGGCUGCUCGUGAUCAAUUGUUAGAUCUGCAAAAUGUCUACGAGAAAACACUUGAUAUGAUGCCAAUAGACGUGAGUGAAAACCCCCAAAUAAAUUCCUGGGAGCAUUUCUGUCAAUCGAAGCUCUCGCCUUUAAGUGCUCUAGCUGUUCUUCGUGUGACAAAUGUCGCCCGGUAGUAUCUUGUUUUGGUUCGUGUAGUUUAUGCAAAGUAUCGAGUUCUAGUGAGCAUGUCUUGUCUUUAUUCUAUAUAUACCUGUAAAUACCAUCAAAGGCGUGAGGUGCUUGAAGGCACAGUUAAAUCAUGUACUGUAGCUAUAAAAACCUACAGUGUCAUGAUUACACGGUUUAUAGUGAUAAUCCACUGGCGGAUGCAUCUACCAAAUAUAGUUGUAAUUUUGGUAACUUCUGUUUGUUUGCCAUAUCAAUGACGAACAAUUCAUCGUAUCAAAUUCGACGAGAUUUGUUUCGUUGUGGCCAAGGGUGUUAGCUACCAGUUUGUUCCACAUCUGCUGCUCAAUUUGAUUGGCUGGUGAGUCAUCAGAUGCACUUUGAUUUUCUCUUUUCAUGUAAAAAAUCUUCUGCUUGUUGCAAGACCUUUCGUUGUCCACUGUGGGUUGGUCAACUUCUUUAGGUGUAAAACUACAAAUAGGUAUGUUCAGAGAACAAUCUCUUUUCGAAAAAAGCUAAUUGGCCUAACCCAUUACAUUUCUAUAAAGACGUUGAAUGUAGGCUUCCUUGGUCUUUUACUUUCCAAAAUAAAUGACCUAAUUUGGAGAAAUGAUAGCAAUAUGAUAAAUAGAUAAGUUUCUGCUGUCUGCGCCUUUAUGAAUACUUUAAUGUUGUACAACAACUACUAUGUUUGUAUGUUCUCCACCAACUCCACAAGUGCUAUAAACUUAAACCCCACGAAACAUGUGCCUCCAGUUUAUGCCCAUCUGAAGUAGGCCUGUUCUCCAUAAAACCAGAACCAUACAUUCUACUACUUGCAAUCUUUUAAGUAUAUUCAUACUCCAUUUCUCUUCAACCCGAGGAAAUAACCUCUUGAUACUGCUCAUGAUCUUGACAUAAUUGUUGUUUCACUGAUGGAGCAAAAGUUGAGAUGAACAACUAUGUGUUAGGAUGAUAAUAGCGAUAUCAAUGAUAUUGCUCUUUGUUGGGAUCGGAGUUCUGAUCCUGAUUCACAUCUGUAUCGUUGGGAGAGCAUACAGACGAGGAAUUGGAACUACUAACAUAGUAGAAAGAGGCAGCUUAGCUAGCAACAGCAUGUCCCAUGAGGAUAUAGAAAAGCUUCCUUCCUAUGCCUUUCAGUCCAAAGAUCCAAUGGAAUGUGCUGUUUGUUUGGAUAAUCUCAAAGUAGGUGAAAAGUGCAGGUUGUUGCCCCUUUGCAAUCACAGUUUUCAUGCUGAAUGCAUAGACUUAUGGCUCUUGAAAACAUCCAUUUGUCCAAUAUGCAGAUCUACUGCUGAUUUUCUAAAAGGUGGAUCGAUAUCUGGUGGAGAAAGUAGCCGAUACAGUGAAAGUGGAAGGCAGGAAUUAAACGCGGAAACUGCCGAAUUAGCAAUGAUAUUGGUACCAGAGAGUGACACUCCUAUCAACAGCUUAAGCUUUGAGACGAGAACAAGUCAGAGUUAGGCUCAAGACAGUGAGCAAUUGAGUGGAAUUGGUCAAAUAGAUGACCAAAUUACUAGUGAAGUUAAUGUGAACAUUAAUGAGAAUUCUACUGAGUUGAGAGUACUUCCCCAAACUAUAGAAAGUAUAAAUUUGGUCCAUGAAGAAAUACAGCAAUAAAGAAACACCCAAACAGCUCAAUUAAGCUAAUUAAUUAGCUGAUCAGAGUUGACAAUCAUUAUAUAG